GAUGAACGCUGGCGGCGUGCCUAACACAUGCAAGUCGAGCAAUUCUCUUCGGAGAAGAGCGGCGGACGGGUGAGUAACGCGUGGGUAACCUGCCCUGUACACACGGAUAACAUACCGAAAGGUAUGCUAAUACGAGAUAAUAUGCUUUUAUCGCAUGGUAGAAGUAUCAAAGCUUUUGCGGUACAGGAUGGACCCGCGUCUGAUUAGCUAGUUGGUAAGGUAACGGCUUACCAAGGCGACGAUCAGUAGCCGACCUGAGAGGGUGAUCGGCCACAUUGGAACUGAGACACGGUCCAAACUCCUACGGGGGGCAGCAGUGGGGAAUAUUGCACAAUGGGCGAAAGCCUGAUGCAGCAACGCCGCGUGAGCGAUGAAGGCCUUCGGGUCGUAAAGCUCUGUCCUCAAGGAAGAUAAUGACGGUACUUGAGGAGGAAGCCCCGGCUAACUACGUGCCAGCCGCCGCCGCAG
rnacentral:rRNA from 1 species